GUAGUCAUAUGCUUGUCUCAAAGCUUAAGCCAUGCAAGUCUCAGUACGAGCUGACCUAAAGUGAAACCGCAAAAGGCUCAGUAAACCGGUCAUAGUUUACCGGAUAUAUGCCACUUACGUGGAUAACUGUGGUAAUUCUAGAGCUAAUACAUGCAAACAAGUCCCGACCAGCGAUGGAGAGGACGCUUUUAUUG
rnacentral:rRNA from 1 species